rnacentral:lncRNA from 1 species
GAGAGACUGGAGGCAUCAGAGACUCUCUUUCUCCAGUACGAGCUUUGAAGAAGCGAACUUCUAUAUUCUACAGCUGCAAGGAAAUGAAUUUUGCCAGCACCCUGAGGGAGCUUAGAAACAGAUCCUUCCUGCGUCAAGCCUUUAGGUGUUCGCAUUUCACCAACCAUGCGGGGGCCAGCCAGUUGAGGGGUCAAAUGAAGAGACAUUUUUCAAGGACCCCUUCACCCAAUUUCCCCAGCUUCCUCCUGAGUUAAGGCUUCUAUUGUAGGAAUGUUCUCUCUGUGAAUGUCUCCGUUUGGUGGAUGAGUCACUGGCAAAGAAGGUAGGUGGUCUGAGUUAGUAACUGGCCAUUUUGGUAGUCUGUUCUGGUUCCUUGAGCAGGUUUCUGAUUUUUCUGUCUCUGAAAUAGAAGAGCUGAUUCUUUUCACCCACCUACAUCAUUGCAAAGUUCUCUUCGUCCUAACGCUUAACAGCCCUGUCCUUGCACCUCUUUGCUUCUUGAUCCACACUCACUCUCUUGGUGACCUCAUCCAGUCUCAUGGCCUUAAAUACUUAUAUGCUGAUGACUCCUGAAUGUGCUUGCAAUCUGGUCAGUCAUCUCUUCUGAACCUCAGACUUACUCAUCAUCUCUGUCUCAGUAUACAAUGAGCAUCUCAAACUUAAAAUGACAAAAACAAAGUUGGCCUCCUAAUUGUCCUCCUGUAAGUCAAUGGCAACUCCAUUCUUCCCCUUGCUCAGUCUCCAAACCAUGGUAUCGUCUUUGACUUCUUUCCUUCACAACCCACAUCCAGUCCAUCAGCAAAUCCUAUCAGCUUACUUCAAAAUGUAAAAUAAUUCAACCAUUUCUCAGAGGCGCCACCAGCACCGCCAUCAUCUCCCACCUGGAUAACUGCAACAACUAGUUUCUCUCUGUCUGCUUUCGCCCUCCCUCUACGCACCUCCAGCAGCCUCAGCGAUUCUAUAAAGAGCAAGUCAAAUUACGCUUAAUUCUCUGACCCGAACUUGCCAAUGGCUCCUCUUUUUACUCAGAGUAAAAGCCAAAGUCCUUAAUAUAGUUUAAAAGGCCCCACAAAAUCUGUUCAUUAUAACAAAAAUGUUCUAAUAGAGGUAGUGGUGAUGAUUGCACAACUCUGUGAAUAUAUGGAAAACUGUUUAAUGGUACAUGUAGGGUGAAUUGUACGGAAUGUGAAUUAUAUCUCAAUAAAGCUGUUAUUUAAAAAGAAUAUCAGAUCCCCACCCCAAUCUCAUCUUUUACUACUCUCUCCCACGCUCGUUCCUCUCUAGCCAUUUUGGCCUUCCUUUUGCCUCAAGACCUUGGUACAGACUGCAUGCCCCGAAUAUUCUUUCUGCUGAUAACCACAUUGCUCACUCCCUUCAAGUCCCUUCUCGAUGAGGCCAGUGAGUUGCAAUACCUCUCCUCCUGGCAUUACUGAUGCCCCAAAACUUGUUCUCUCUGUUUCAAAAAAUAAUAUCACUAAUCACUUUCUAAAUAAUAACAUCUUUUAUUUAUUUAUAUUGUCUAUUAUCUGGCUCCCACUCUCCUGCCCACUCUACUCCCCAAGUAUAAGUUCAAUGGAGUAAGAUUUGUUUUGUUCACAGGUGGAUCCCUAAGUGGUUAGUUCCUUGCCCAGAGUGGACCCUCAGUAAAUAUUUAUUAAAUCAGAUCUUAUUGAAUGAAUAAGUUGUACAGAUUUAAAGAUGUAAUUCAUGAACUAGAACAUGAAGCUGUAAAUCUUGUGGUCUCUCCUUAUAGAUUAACAAGGAAGAUGUUUGAUUGAAUCCUACUUUUGCUGGUUGUAUUUUUUUAGUUACAGAGGGUUGUGCACCCUUACCUGAGUUUUAUCUUCUUCUUCAUACUCCCUCCACCUCUGCCCCAAGAAACUUUUAAAUGUUUUUUUCAGGAGCUAUAUACUGGCUGAUUUUGUAAACUAAGGAUUUGUGACCUCGACCAGUCUGUAUUGUAUACACUUAUAAACCCCAAUAGAUUAAAAGGUGCGUAAUUGCCAAGCUUCAAGGCUGGUUCUUUCAAUAUAGCAUAAAGAGAUUAUAAUAAUGAGGAGAACAACCUUGCAAGGUUUUAUAAAGGUGAGAGUUGAGGUGGGAGAUCUAAAAGAGCAAAGAUAGGGUGUCGCUAUAGAAGCAGCAUGCAAGAAACACACAUGGAGAUGGAAUGAAAGAAACGGUAAGAUUUAGGAGAUUGCAAACAGAAGAAACAAGGGAUAAAGGAAAAUCAGAGCAUUCUUGACUAUGAUUUGAUCUCCUCCCUCUUUUUCUGGCUUUAGUGCUUGUAAGCAUUUAAUCUCUAUUCACUGGAAAUUUCUGCCGGUAGAAUUUAUGCUUUGAAAUUGCUUGUAAGAUCUGUUCUGUGAAUAAUAUGCAUUCUUAUAUUUCUCUUUGGUCCUCCUUCACUCUGGCAAUGAAUGUCAGUCUCAAGGUCUGGAAGAUAUUAAAUAUUAAAACAGGAUAAUUUACGAUUAAACCCCGUAAGCCUGUGAUCUUUUGAAGCGGGCCUAGGACGCAGCCUUUUGAAGCCCCCUUUCUGGCUGGCUGGUCUUGGGGGUUGUCUGACAGUACUCUGUCUGGCUACUGUUUGACUUUAUGUUGUAAAGGUCCAAAGUAGCCUCAUUUUUAGUAACCGAAGAAUGCAGUAAGCAGACUGUUAUCUAGCUGUCCAUUAUGAACACUUUACGCCUGUGCUUCGUGGACCAUAUCAGUUUGUGGCAAAGUGAUGGAUUGUGUUUGGCAUUCUGUUGUUGACCUCUAAGGAUCUGUGCCAUAUGUUCUAGCUCACCCCUGAAGACAUGGGAGGGGGAGGGCAUGUUGUGUCACUGGCCACUAAGCAGAAAUGUGUCAGGGAUUUUGCUUUCUCAGCUGGAACAUCACCCUCGGCAAGGCGUCCUCCCUGUUUCAGGAAAGCAUCACCAUCCAAUACAAGAAGGCAUGUUCGUAGAUUCAUUUGAUCGUUGGUAUUUUGUGUCUGUGUUUUAGGGAAGUUUUGAAAUGAUGCUGUAAAAGUAGGAUCUAUGUGGCUACUUUACUUUGCAUGCAUAGCCAGUAUGAUAAAUCUAAUCUGAUGUCCUUCCAAGAAUGUAGCUUGAAUGAUGCAUGAUCUUAGGUAGGUUGCUUACUCUCUCUUUACCUCAGUUUCCCCAUUUGUCAAAAAAUUUUUUUAAGAGAGCUCCCUUUCCCCAAAAGAAAUAGUAGGCAUAAUCCCCACAAAUAGACAGAUAAAAGCUGAAGAGUUCUGGCUGAAGCAGUAGAUGGGGGUGGGGCUGAGGGCGACGGGUCUGCAGAUUUAGCCACCCACUCCCCCCACCAACUCAACCCAUAGCCUUUGAGACCCACACUGAUCCCAGCUGGAAACUGAAAAGUUUGUUCUAUAAAACACUUCCAGCUCGAAUAUCUUUUUGCUUAAUAAUUUGUUAUUCUAAUAAUUAUUCUAUAAUUUUAAGCAGUCACCAAAAAAACUUCUAAUGUCUUACUUGACCACAAAAAAGUUAGUUUUCUGGACCUUAAAAUUUUGAUCACCAGAUGAUCUGUCUAAAGAAUUAAAAACUCAUUUAUAUUCCUCUGCUUUGAUAUCAGUUUUCAAAAAUUUCAGUCCAUUUCCAUAGGUUAGUUGAGAUUAUGUUACAACUUGCCUUAUUAACCUUAAUAGAUUGCCUAGUUACCAAAUGCUAUGGAGGAUGAUUUGGCACGGUCUUCAUAAACAGGUCGCACCUGGGAGCUAGUGGGAACGCUCCCAUCUGAGAAGACACAGCUACAACAGAUGGUAAAACGACAGAAAACCAGGUGAAAUGGUGCCCCCCUCACAACUUCUCACUCAUCUCACGUGUACCGAAUACCCUCUGUGAGUCAGAUACUCUGCUGGUCAUCCAGGACAUCAAGAUGUGAGGACAUGGCUCCUGUGCUCAUGGAACUCGUAACUACUCAUUCUAGUUUGCGUGAAAGGACAGACAAGAUUGAUCUUCCAUCAGUGGAAUAGUCCAAGUUUAAUUGGUGAACCAUACCCCAGUAAUCCCGCUCCCCACCCUCCAUAGAGACCCUUCCACGAUAGGGUGACAAUUUAUAAAUUACCCGAGUUCAUCACGCUAGAAUAAGAGAUGCCUGAUGGUCUAUGGAUGCAUUCGAGGUAGUUCCUGCUCAAGGAGCUCCCCAAAGUCCUGGCACGCUAGAUAUUGCAGGGGUCCCAGAAACCAAGAGAGACCACCUGCAUAACUAUUGGAAGUUUCUGCUGUUUCUACUGUGUUAUCUAAAGCCUUGAAAAAACAUACCCUACAGUCAAAUCCUGGUUUCUUCAGCUGCCGUCUUUAUCACGUUGCUACGUUAUAUAUCCCUUCCUGAACCUCAACAUCCUUAUCUGUAAAAUGAAGAUAAUAGUGUCUUUUAUUGGUUUGUUUAUGUAUCCAUUCAUCCAGAAAACAUUUUUUUAAAUCCCUACCUCAUCCCAGGUAUUGAGCUAGGCAACAGGCUGGCAUCUAAAGAACGCGAAGGGCUCGCUUCGUAAUUGGCAAGUGGGAAAAGCCUUUCAGGUUAGGGAAAUGGUUUGUGCAAAGGCCUUGAGUUGGUAAAGAGGAGCUGGGAAACUGAAAGUAGCUUAGUAGAUUGAAGAAUAAAAAGGAGGGCAUUAUCCUAAAAAGUGGCUAUUGGCUACCCCGAAACCCAGGAAUUCCACUCCCAGGUAUAUGUCCUAGAGAAAUUCUAGGAGACGCGUAUAAGAAUUAACUGUCAUUCAUGAUAGGACAAAACUAAAACAACGCAAACAUUGGCAGAAUCGAGAAGUCUUGGUAUACGCCCACAGUGGAACGUUACUGGUGAAAAUGAAUGAACUGUAGCUACUCACACCAACACAGAUGACUCUUUUAACCAUUACUUUGAGUGGAGAAAACAAACCAUUAGAAAACAACUUACUGUGUUUACUAUGCAUUUAAAAUCAUCUUAGCAUACCUAAAAUUUAAAAAUAUUUUUUUGUGGAUACACAUAUAUUGUAAAAGUAUUUUUAAAAAGCCAGGGAAUUGAAACUUUUGUUUCUGGCCAAGAUGUUGGAACAGACAGUAAAUUUACCCUUCUGCCUUAAACAACUAGGAAACUAGAAAAUUACAUGAAACAAGAAUUUUCAGAAAUUGGACAAUAGCAGAGCAGGACUGCCAUGCCUGAGUAGAGGGAAACAAACAAGGUGAGCUCUGUAAUUCCACCAGCUGACCCCCAAGAAGGAGUUUCCAGGCAGUAGCGCAGAAGGGGAAACCCAAACAGAGUCCAGUGGUCUUGCUGAGCGGAGGAAAUAGAGGCUGGAGGGAGGGGAGGACAAGGGGCCAUCAUUUGCUGGGCAGAGUACCACAGAGGAGGGGGCUGCACAGAAAGAUAGUUCCAGAGAUCUGCAGAGGUUUCACCUUGAUGUCUCUAUCUUUGCUUGAGUGAGACGGACUUACCAGAGGUCAGGGAAAGACCUACCAGAAAGGACUAGACAGAACAACUCCGGGACCUCACACGGGACUGGGAAAAGGUCUUGUUCCCACAUGUCGGAGCGGAAAGAUAUCAUAAUGUAUGGGACAUCAGGGAGGACUUCAGAAGUCAACACCUUAGCAGUGGGCCU